rnacentral:rRNA from 1 species
UACGUAGGGGGCGAGCGUUGUCCGGAUUUAUUGGGCGUAAAGAGCUCGUAGGCGGCUGUUCGAGUCGGGUGUGAAAUCCUGAGGCUUAACCUUGGGUCUGCAUUCGAUACUGGGCGGCUUGAGUCUGGUAGGGGGAUCUGGAAUUCCUGGUGUAGCGGUGAAAUGCGUAGAUAUCGGGAGGAACACCUGUGGCGAAAGCGGCGCACUGGACCACAUCUGACGCUGAGGCGCGAAAGCUAGGGGAGCAAACAGG